rnacentral:rRNA from 1 species
UACGGAGGGUGCGAGCGUUGUCCGGAAUCACUGGGCGUAAAGGGCGCGUAGGCGGCGCGGAAAGUCAACGGUGAAAGCUCGGCGCUCAACGCCGAGUCGGCCGUCGAUACUCCCGUGCUCGAGCACUGUAGAGGCAGGUGGAAUUCCCGGUGUAGUGGUGAAAUGCGUAGAGAUCGGGAGGAACACCUGUGGCGAAGGCGGCCCCCUGGGCCGGCCCUGACACUGAGACGCGAAGGCGUGGGGAGCGAACGGG